rnacentral:rRNA from 1 species
UACAGGGGGGGCAAGCGUUGUUCGGAAUUACUGGGCGUAAAGGGCUCGUAGGCGGCCGGCUAAGUCCGACGUGAAAUCCCCAGGCUUAACCUGGGAACUGCGUCGGAUACUGGCGGGCUUGAAUCCGGGAGAGGGAUGCGGAAUUCCAGGUGUAGCGGUGAAAUGCGUAGAUAUCUGGAGGAACACCGGUGGCGAAGGCGGCAUCCUGGACCGGCAUUGACGCUGAGGUGCGAAAGCGUGGGGAGCAAACAGG